AAUCGGCAGUGAUGAUGAAAUUUCAGCUUUAAAUGCCAGUUCUGCUUCUGAAGAUUCUUGAUUGAUAGAGCUGUUAUGUGAUCUGAGCCCAUC